rnacentral:misc_RNA from 1 species
CCUUCCUAUCACUAUUCACUAAAUUCGUGAAUUCAUGCUUUGACAAUGGCGAGGUUGAAAACAUGAAAAACGACGUGGUUUUGUGAUACACCAAAUAAAAAAGGCAAAUAAAAGAACCAUCUGUAAAUUUGCAGUUGGGAGUUGGGUGGCCUUCUUUUGUUUCAUUUUUCAAUCUCUUGAGUCAGGCGGUUACUUCUACGCUCCCUUCCCUCGUUUCCUCCGCCCCUCUUUCUUCUCUUAUACUCUCCUUCCUUUCCUCCUGUUUCCCUCACUUUCCCUUUGCUUUCUAAGCUCCUCUUACUAAGAGAAAGCGCAAUGGCUUCUGCUUUCUCUGCCACCAAGUUCACCCUUCUCAAUUCCACCACCCCCAGAUCUCACGAUAACCAACCUCUUUACGAUCCUCUCAAAAGCACCACUUCUUUUCUGGGAUCUACUCGUAAGCUUCGUUUCACUUCUUUUCCCAAAUUGAAAAUACUCAAUUCCCAACGUCGGUCACCUGUUGUUGCCGUUUCCGAAGCCGUUAAGGAAAAGAAGCUUAAAUCAACCUCCAAUCUGUUGAUCACAAAGGAAGAAGGCUUGGUACUAUAUGAGGAUAUGGUGUUAGGGAGAGCCUUUGAGGAUAUGUGUGCCCAGAUGUAUUACAGGGGAAA